rnacentral:rRNA from 1 species
CCCUUAGUAACUGCGAGUGAAGUGGGAAAAGCUCAAAUUUAAAAUCUGACUGUCUUUGGCUGUCCGAGUUGUAAUCUAGAGAAGUGUUACCCGUGCUGGACCAUGUACAAGUCUCCUGGAAUGGAGCAUCACAGAGGGUGAGAAUCCCGUCUUUGAUAUGGACUAUCCAGGGCUUUUGUGGUAUGCUCUCAAAGAGUCGAGUUGUUUGGGAAUGCAGCUCAAAAUGGGUGGUAAAUGCCAUCUAAAGCUAAAUAUUAGCGAGAGACCGAUAGCGAACAAGUACCGUGAGGGAAAGAUGAAAAGAACUUUGGAAAGAGAGUUAAACAGUACGUGAAAUUGCUGAAAGGGAAANGCUUGAAGUCAGUCACAUUGGCUGGAAAUCAACUCNAUUUCUGUAGGGUGUAUUUUCCAGUUGAUGGGUCAGCAUCAAUUUUGAUUGCUGGAAAAAGGCCAUGGGAAUGUGGCAUCUUCGGAUGUGUUUAUAGCCCUUGGGUUGUAUACAGUGAUCAGGAUUGAGGAAGCUCAGCAUGCCCGCAAGGGUCGGGUUUUCUUUUGAAACCACGUUCAUGCUUAGGAUGCUGGCAUUAAUGGCUUUAAUCGACCCGUCUUGAAACACGGACCAAGGAGUCUAACAUACCUGCAAGUGUUUGGGUGG